rnacentral:tRNA from 1 species
GCAGUGCUGUGGCCGAAUGGUUACGCUAUCCGCUUUGUAAGCGGAUGAUUCCGGGUUCGAUUCCCAUCUGCUGCA